AAAUUGAAGAGUUUGAUCAUGGCUCAGAUUGAACGCUGGCGGCAGGCCUAACACAUGCAAGUCGAGCGGUAGCACAGAGAGCUUGCUCUCGGGUGACGAGCGGCGGACGGGUGAGUAAUGUCUGGGAAACUGCCUGAUGGAGGGGGAUAACUACUGGAAACGGUAGCUAAUACCGCAUAACGUCGCAAGACCAAAGUGGGGGACCUUCGGGCCUCAUGCCAUCAGAUGUGCCCAGAUGGGAUUAGCUAGUAGGUGGGGUAAUGGCUCACCUAGGCGACGAUCCCUAGCUGGUCUGAGAGGAUGACCAGCCACACUGGAACUGAGACACGGUCCAGACUCCUACGGGAGGCAGCAGUGGGGAAUAUUGCACAAUGGGCGCAAGCCUGAUGCAGCCAUGCCGCGUGUAUGAAGAAGGCCUUCGGGUUGUAAAGUACUUUCAGCGAGGAGGAAGGCAUUAAGGUUAAUAACCUUAGUGAUUGACGUU
rnacentral:rRNA from 1 species